rnacentral:rRNA from 1 species
AUGCCUUAGUAACGGCGAGUGAAGCGGCAAAAGCUCAAAUUUGAAAUCUGGUACCUUCGGUGCCCGAGUUGUAAUUUGGAGAGGGCAACUUUGGGGCCGUUCCUUGUCUAUGUUCCUUGGAACAGGACGUCAUAGAGGGUGAGAAUCCCGUGUGGCGAGGAGUGCGGUUCUUUGUAAAGUGCCUUCGAAGAGUCGAGUUGUUUGGGAAUGCAGCUCUAAGUGGGUGGUAAAUUCCAUCUAAAGCUAAAUAUUGGCGAGAGACCGAUAGCGAACAAGUACAGUGAUGGAAAGAUGAAAAGAACUUUGAAAAGAGAGUGAAAAAGUACGUGAAAUUGUUGAAAGGGAAGGGCAUUUGAUCAGACAUGGUGUUUUGUGCCCUCUGCUCCUUGUGGGUAGGGGAAUCUCGCAUUUCACUGGGCCAGCAUCAGUUUUGGUGGCAGGAUAAAUCCAUAGGAAUGUAGCUUGCCUCGGUAAGUAUUAUAGCCUGUGGGAAUACUGCCAGCUGGGACUGAGGACUGCGACGUAAGUCAAGGAUGCUGGCAUAAUGGUUAUAUGCCGCCCGUCU